rnacentral:rRNA from 1 species
AUGAUUAAUAACAGAUCUUGGAACAUUUUGAACUGGAACAUUAGGGUUAUCAAUGCAGAAGAAAAAUGGUUAGCUUUAAAGCAAAAGGUUGAGGAAAGUGUAGCUGGGAUUAUUUGUUUACAGGAGACAAAAAGAGAAGUGUUUGACCUGGCUUAUGUCCAUAAUGUUUCCCACACGGAUUUAAUAAAUUUGAAUACUUGCCUUCUGUUGGGGCCUCUCGCGGACUCAUUAUUGCUUGGGUGGGUUCUCUCUUCCAAGGAAAAGUUUUGUUCCAAAACAGGUUCUCUCUCAGUGAAAUUUAUUUGCAACACCUCCAACCAGUCUUGGGUUUUGACAAACAUCUAUGGUCCUAGUAAUCAGGAAGAUAAAGCUGAAUUUUUAAACUGGUUCACUAACAUUCAAAUGCCCCCUGAGGUGGAUUGGAUAGUGAUGGGUGACUUCAACUUUAUCAGAUCUCCAAGUGACAGAAACAAACCAGGGGGAUGUGAAUCAAAUGCUUCUUUUUAA